rnacentral:rRNA from 1 species
GAUGAACGCUGGCGGCGUGCCUAUUACAUGCAAGUCGAGCGAACAGACGAGGAGCUUGCUCCUCUGACGUUAGCGGCGGACGGGUGAGUAACACGUGGAUAACCUACCUAUAAGACUGGGAUAACUUCGGGAAACCGGAGCUAAUACCGGAUAAUAUAUUGAACCGCAUGGUUCAAUAGUGAAAGACGGUUUUGCUGUCACUUAUAGAUGGAUCCGCGCCGCAUUAGCUAGUUGGUAAGGUAACGGCUUACCAAGGCAACGAUGCGUAGCCGACCUGAGAGGGUGAUCGGCCACACUGGAACUGAGACACGGUCCAGACUCCUACGGGAGGCAGCAGUAGGGAAUCUUCCGCAAUGGGCGAUAGCCUGACGGAGCAACGCCGCGUGAGUGAUGAAGGUCUUCGGAUCGUAAAACUCUGUUAUUAGGGAAGAACAAAUGUGUAAGUAACUAUGCACGUCUUGACGGUACCUAAUCAGAAAGCCACGGCUAACUACGUG